rnacentral:rRNA from 1 species
GCUUGCUGAAGCUANUAAAGUGGCGCACGGGUGAGUAUCGCGUGGGUAAUCUACCCUUGAGACUGGAAUAACAUUGCGAAAGCGAUGCUAAUACCGGAUAAUAUCCUUAAAUUUUCGAAUUUUUGGAUCAAAGGGGGUCUCUACAUGUAAGCUUCCACUUAGGGAUGAGCCCGCGUACCAUUAGCUUGUUGGUAGGGUAAUGGCCUACCAAGGCCGCGAUGGUUAGCUGGUCUGAGAGGAUGAUCAGCCACACUGGAACUGACACACGGUCCAGACUCCUACGGGAGGCAGCAGUGAGGAAUUUUGCGCAAUGGGGGAAACCCUGACGCAGCAACGCCGCGUGAGUGAUGAAGGCUUUCGGGUCGUAAAGCUCUGUCAAGUGGGAAGAAACGGAAAAGUAGUAAAAUNCUUUUCUCUGACGGUACCACUGAAGGAAGCACCGGCUAACUCCGUGCCAGCAGCCGCGGUAAUACGGGGGGUGCAAGCGUUAUUCGGAAUUAUUGGGCGUAAA